GAUAGGUGGGAGACUGUGAAGCGCUCACGCCAGUGAGUGUGGAGUCGUUGUUGAAAUACCACUCUGAUCGUAUUGGACCUCUAACCUCGGACCAUGAUCUGGUUCAGGGACAGUGCCUGGUGGGUAGUUUAACUGGGGCGGUUGCCUCCCAAAAUGUAACGGAGGCGCCCAAAGGUUCCCUCAGCCUGGUUGGCAAUCAGGUGUCGAGUGCAAGUGCACAAGGGAGCUUGACUGUGAGACUGACAGGUCGAGCAGGGACGAAAGUCGGGACUAGUGAUCCGGCACCGGCAAGUGGAAGCGGUGUCGCUCAACGGAUAAAAGGUACCCCGGGGAUAACAGGCUGAUCUUCCCCAAGAGUCCAUAUCGACGGGAUGGUUUGGCACCUCGAUGUCGGCUCGUCGCAUCCUGGGGCUGGAGUAGGUCCCAAGGGUUGGGCUGUUCGCCCAUUAAAGCGGCACGCGAGCUGGGUUUA
rnacentral:rRNA from 1 species